GACGAACGCUGGCGGCGUGCUUAACACAUGCAAGUCGAACGGAAAGGCUCCAGCUUGCUGGAGUACUCGAGUGGCGAACGGGUGAGUAACACGUGGGUAAUCUGCCCUGCACUCUGGGAUAAGCCUGGGAAACUGGGUCUAAUACUGGAUAUGACCUUUCUCCUUAUGGGGUUUGGUGGAAAGUUUUUCGGUGUAGGAUAAGCCCGCGGCCUAUCAGCUUGUUGGUGGGGUGAUGGCCUACCAAGGCGACGACGGGUAGCCGGCCUGAGAGGGUGAUCGGCCACAUUGGGACUGAGAUACGGCCCAGACUCCUACGGGAGGCAGCAGUGGGGAAUAUUGCACAAUGGGCGGAAGCCUGAUGCAGCGACGCCGCGUGAGGGAUGACGGCCUUCGGGUUGUAAACCUCUUUCAGCAGGGACGAAGCGUAAGUGACGGUACCUGCAGAAGAAGCACCGGCUAACUAUGUG
rnacentral:rRNA from 1 species